GAUUCGCCCGGAGUGGCCGAGCUGCGCGGCUACGGCUUCAUUGUCAGUUGAAAGACGCGGUUUCGCGCGCCUGUGCGGUCGGCGAGAAAGGGUACUAGGCGGCUCCGCUAGGUUCAUGGAGCUGAGCUGGGCCGAGGGGCGGGAACUGCGGAGCGGCCUCGGUCAAACUCGUCUUAAAGGACGCGGAAAGCCCCUCACCACGUGACGGCCGCGCAGGCGCAUUAUCCUAGCCCUCGGCGCGUGGGUCGGGCCGAGGGGUUCAGCAGCCCGUGGCGCUCCUCGGCUGGCGCUGCGAGUGAGCCCGCGGCGGCAGUGACACAGCCUACCUUGCUCAUUGCCCUUCACGUCCCGCCUCCGGCUUCUGCGGCCGCGGGAAUCCGAGAAUGUGAGCAAAGACAAGUUUUCCGACACCGAAAACUCGUUGGAACCGGCAAGCGCGCCCCUAGCUCCGGCAGGCAAAAUGCGACCUUCUCUCGCCCUUUUUCGUUUGUACUCCGAAUUGCGAAAGUACUGUAUGUUCACUGGAAAUAUGGGAAAAUGCAGAAAUACAUUAACGGCUGCAUACAUUCCGUCGAGUGAGUGAAACUAACUUACCCUGGACGUUAAGCUGUUUCCAGUUCUCACUUUACUAAAUAAUAAUAGAACGAAGGUUCUUGUGCACGUCUACCUUGUAUUUUUAUAAUUCCUUUCCUUUCCCCACUUCCCUCCUUGUCCGCUAAAAUAAAGUGCUACCAGAUAAACUCAGGGCAAAAUGAGCUUAAACUAAGUGAGGUAGUGGGGAGACUCGAAUUGCUCUUAUAUAAACCCCAUAGAAAGUACGGAGCUUUCGGCGUAAUCGGUGCUCAGUAAAUACUUGUUCAUGUCAAUUCACAGCUAAUUGUACAUUUUAUUAGGUAAGUAACAUCUGGAUAUUAAAGGGCAUAUUAAUGUAAAACUAUAAAGGCCCUGAAUUAUUUUCUUAGGUGAUUUAAAUUUUUCUCUUUAACUACAAAUUGUGUUUCAAUAUUAAUAGAAGUCUUAAAAUAUUAGAUAAAUGAACCCUAGUUAUUUUGAGGUAGCUCCUUGAAAGUAAGGCAACUCCAGCUACCCUUUUAACCUGCUAAGUGGUUACGUUUUGUCUUGUUUCCUUAAAAAAACCAUAAAUAGUCUUAUUAAGGAAAUAAUGAAAAGGUUUCCAGAAAUAGACUUUCUCACCAACAGUUUAAUAGCCGACAUUUAUUGAACGUACACAUUUUAAUGAGAAUUAGGAUAAAAUAUUAACUGCCUCUGUUAUACAGAGAAAGAUGACAUGCUUUUCCUCAUAGCCCAAACGGUACAUGCUGAAAUGACAGCAGAGGAUUUUUGUCUGUGUUCCCUGAACCAAAGUUU
rnacentral:lncRNA from 1 species